AGCGGCAGGCGACCGAGGCGAGGCAGAGGCGGCUGCGUGCGCGGCGGCGCCUCCGGGUCCUAGAACCGUAAGCUCCCACGCGCUCGGAGCUGGGGCACUGGCGGGGUCCGGGCGAAGGGGGUCGCGGCCUGGAGGCCCGACGGGGAGAACCUCGGAGUCGAGGACUGUCAGGAACCGCGAGCGCGGCUUGGAGACCCACGAUGGAGUGGCGUUGGGGCGCAAGGCUCCGCCCUCUCUCGGGUUCCCGACUGAGAAGGUGGGAACCCCCUUCCAGGGCCCCUAGCCCUUGUUCCUCUCCUCCUCCAUUUAGCCCAGAGACCAGCCGAGUGCCAGAGGGAACCGCCUGCAAAUAAGAGCCCCAAAGCAGGGCAGGGGGUGCAGAUUCACGCCAGCGGGACCCCCGCCAGCUAUCCCGCCCUGGACCAACCCUGCGCCUGUGCCGGCAUCUCCAGCGGCUCUAGAAUGGAGGCGCUCAAGGAAAAAUGCAGGCUGCAAGAAUCUGGGUACCAUCGAAGCAGUCUUCAGGAGAAACGCGGGGAUUGGGGAGCAGAGGAUUAAAGCCAGCGUUCAGGCUGAGAAAGGAGCAGGUGCCGCAGAGGCGGAUAAAAUCCUCAUGCAGUCACCUCCAGGGACGGAGGGUGGCCUCCCGCCUUGGAGAAUAACAAUCUCAGAAGUCUGGCAAUUACAGAAAUGCUUCCAGAGGUUUUUCAUUCAUCCUGACAAUGACCAGGGAAGAUUCAGAACCACUGACAGGAGAUGAUGCAGGAGCUGGGAAGUGUAUCUAAUUUUAAGGAAAGACCCUCGAUGAGCCACCCCUUUCCCCAGCCUGACCUGUGUUAAGGCUUUCUUCUGCCAAGGUCACCAGCACGUCUGGUGGCUGAGAGAUGUGGUCAGUUAUUUCAUGUCCUAGCCAGGGACCCAUAAGGACCCAGAAGCCAACAUGGACUAGGGUAGAGGAGACCCCAUCCAAGCAGCAGCCAAACGGAUGGGGCACACAGGACCUUUGGAGAUGGACACUAUUACUCUACGGCGACUUGUCCAAAGAUCCAUUUCAAUCCAGUGCUCCUCUGUGACUCCUCCUGACUCACCCAAGUGGGACUGAUCUCAGUCAGCUUUGGGGCCACACCACACUUCCCGUAAUGCUCCUAAGUUCCAACCUAGUGCCUGGUACUCAACAAAUGUUUGGCGAAUGAAAGAUCACUUGGCCAGUAAAAUCGCGAGAGGUACCCAGCUUGCCAGCCAUGCCCAACACCUACUUCCUAAACCCCUUUCUCCAAGGCUUUGCCCUACUGUUCCCUCUGUUCGUGAUGGCUAUUGCCACCCCCACCUGACUGUGAACCCCUGCUCAUCUCCCAAGAUUCUGCUCAAAAUAAGUUCCAAAUUCAGGUGGGUGGUUCAUCUGGGAGGAUGCAAUCAGGGCGGAAAACCCUGGGGAUUAUUUUUAAUGUAUUAUUUCCUAAGCAGGAGGUUUGUUCUAUUAUUCUAUAUGCCUUCCUAUGUCUUAAAUAUUUCCUCACAAUAUAUUUUCAAAAGAGAUUCAGUUGAGGCUAUACUUCCACCUUGAUUCCCACCUCCUGCUAUGUUUCCUUGUCAAGAAUCAAGCUCAAAAAUCCCUUACCAUCAGUCAAAAGCAACUUCAUGUUUCUAAAGAUGCAUGGAAAUGAUUGCCACCGAUCUAGGAUCCUGGUCCCAUCUAGGUCAAGGACUACACCAGGGACUUCAACAAUAACAGCAAUGCUGGGGUUUCUUAAAUUGGGCGGUGGGUGCAUGGGUGUUUGCUUUACGUCUAAAAUAUUAUGAAAUAAUUAAACACUUGAAAAAGCAACUCUAUCCAGAGUAAGAGGGACAGGAAGGAAAAAGGAAGGGAGAAGGAGCUUUAGAUGAGUUGAGUAAGGGAGAACAAAGGAGGCUCUCCGCUAGGCAUAAAGGGAUACAGGCAUUAAUCAGGUUUGACUUGCAGGCACAGAGCAAGAGCAGAGCCAUGGAAAUGGCACAAGGCUGUGUCGUGCUGUAGUGAGCCAUGAGGUGGCUAAGAGCUUGAACCCUGCAACUAGACCAUCUGGGUUCAAGUCCCGAUGCAAUCGCUUGAUAACCCAUGGCUUGGGCAACUUCAAUUUCUUCACCAUGAAAAAUGCUGGUGGGGACCAAAUGAGAUGAAGUGAGUGAAGCUUGCACUGGUUGGUAUCCAGCAAGUGCAGAACAUUGUUUUUACUUGUGUUAGGACUUAUUAGUCAUGUGACCCUGAACAAAUCACUUCGGUUCUUCAAAACUCAGUCUCCCCAUCUGUGAAAUGGGAUCUCAUCCUAUGGCCAAAAUAAACUCAUGUGAAUGAAAGUGCUUUACACCCUCCAGAGUGAUUCAUAAACAAGAGUUCAUAUUAAAUAAGAAAUUAUAAGUUAAAAGACCCUGAGAGAGUAAGCUUCAUGAGGGUAGAGACUAUACCCAUCAAGCUCACUGUGAUAUCCCCACUGCUUAGCAGAGUGCCUGGCACAGAUAGAAGCCCAGGGUUAUAUGGACUAAAUUGUGUCCCUCCAAACAAAAAAAUGAUAUGUUUAAGUCCUAACCCCCAGUACCUCAGAACGUAACUUUAUUUGGAAAUAAGGUCUUUACAUAGGUCAUCAAGUGAAAAUGAGCUUAUGAGGGUGGGCUCUAACCUAACAGGACUAGUGCCCUUAUUUUAAAAAAUGGAAAUUUGGACACAGACAGACUGAGAGGGAAGACAGAGAAUUGGAGUGGUGCAUCUACAAAUCAAGGAAUGCCAAGGAUUGCUAGCAAAACACCAGAAACUAAGAAGAAGCAAGGAAAACCCCUUCCCCUAAGGUUUCAGAGGAAGCAUGGGCCCCAUCCACACCUUGAUUUCAGAUUUUUAGCCCCCAGAACUGAGACAAUACAUUUCUGUCAUUCCAAGCCACCCAGGAUCAUGGUACAUACAUUGUUGCAGCAGCCCCAGAAGAUCAGUACACGCGGUAAAUAUUUGUUGCAUGAACAAAUUGUGCUGUGGGUGCUUCCAGUGAAAUAUGGCAUCUCCUCCCCAGCAGAGGAGGAUGUGUGUGUCCAGGCAGGCAAUGGGGAAGGUGCCUGUCCUGUUCCGUGGUGGGCAGGGAAUAGCAGUGGGCAGGAGAAGGCAGGAUUUAAACCUGAGCACUCCGAAGCCAGAGUACACACUCACAAUUUCUACACUAGAGAAGCCCAGCUGGCGAGAGCUCACCCUGCCUUAGAGCCCAAGUGGCCUCUCUCCUCCCCACCUCCACAAGAAGAAAUGGAGAAGAAAUGGAGCAGGGGAUAAUCAAGAAGGCACUAAAAAGAGAAGUGAGGAUAGUAUUUGAUCCUGAAACUGCCAGCAGACUCUUACAAAGCACCUGCUCUCAGUUGGAUGUCCGUAGCAGGGGGCCGGGGUACCCUGUGGUGAGGCCCCUGCCCAGAUGGAACCGGAGUCAUCACCCGCACAUACUGCCAGGGGCUGGGCUGCUGUGGCAAUGAAGCAACAGCUCUUUGCUAGGCAGAGCUCAACAUCUGAUGGCUGAAGGGGCCCUUGGCCUGUUUUCUGAUCUCACCUCCUGCCCUUCCUCGUGAGCGCUGGCACACCAUAGAAGCCAGGAGUCUCUGGAGACAAUUUGGACUGCAACUUUUCGGUGGAAAUUCCUCCUUUCUCUUUAACUUGAGCUCUGCCCAUAUCUUGUCUGCCCUCCAAGGCUCCCUGAACACCUGACUCCCUGUCUGGCAUCUGCACACCGGAGGUCAUGCCAUCUUGGAGCCCUCCUAGGGAUGUGGGCAGGUGACAGGCACCCACAUGUGGGACUCCUGACCACGGCGAGCUGGGCAAAGAGAACAUUUGGAGCUCUUAGGACUCUGGGUCUCAGCCCUGGCUGCACAUGAGCAGCCCCCACAGAGCCUGAAAAACUCUAGUGCCCAGGCUGCACACCAGAAGAAUUAAAUCAGGAUCUCUGGGGGUGGCACCCAGACAGCAGGACUUUAAAAAAUUUUCCCAGGUGAUUCCAAUGGGCAUUAAGCUGAGAAGCAAUCACUUACUGGACAAAGGAAUACUACAAGGAGAGGAAACCUGGACUCCAGCUGGAUGGGAAGCAGCAGGGAAGCAAUCAUAUCCAAAGGCUUCUAGAAAAGAAGAAUGGCAGUUGCUAGGGGCUGGAGGGAGGCGGGUAUGCAGAAUUAUUAUUUAAUGUGUACACACUCCCAGUUUGGGAAGAUGAAAAAAAGAAAGUUCUGGAGAUGGAUGUCGGCGAUGGCUGCACAACAACGUGAAUGUUAAUACCCCUGAACUGUAUGCCUCAAAGUGGUUAAAGAAUACAGGAGAUAGUUGCAGAUUUAGAAAGCAAUUUAAUCCAGACUAAAGAUGGGAUAUUUAUUUAGGCAACAUCUAGAAAUCUCUGUAUGCUUCCUUCUGAGAUACCUGAAUCUAUGUCUAUAUCUGCAUAUCUAUCUUAUCUAUAUCUUUAUAUAAAUAUAUGAAGAUAUGCUUUAGGGAGGGAAUCUGAAGAAGGUGCUUUUAAAAGUAACCUAGAAAAAUAAAAAAUCCAGUAAUACCCAGGCAUCUUCUGUAAAAGGAAGGUUAAAAAGAAAAGGAAGAAUAGAGAUAUCAGAUAUUAAAGCAUAUUAUGCAGCUAUAAUAAUUUUUUAAUGUUAUUGGUUUAUCAAUAAAUAAGAGAGAAUUGAACCCCAUUUGUGGGAAUAGAAAACCCACAAAUGCAUACAUGAAGCUAGUUUAUGAUAAACAUGGAAUUUGAAAUCAUGGUGACAAAAGAAUUUUUUAAAUAGUGUGAGGACCAC